rnacentral:rRNA from 1 species
CCUACGGGAGGCUGCAGUGGGGAAUAUUGCGCAAUGGGCGAAAGCCUGACGCAGCGACGCCGCGUGAGGGAUGAAGGUCUUCGGAUUGUAAACCUCUGUCAGCAGGGAAGAACGGUCACUGUGCUAAUCAGCAGUGAAUUGACGGUACCUGCAAAGGAAGCACCGGCUAACUCCGUGCCAGCAGCCGCGGUAAUACGGAGGGUGCGAGCGUUAAUCGGAAUUACUGGGCGUAAAGCGCUCGUAGGCGGUAUGUCAAGUCAAGGGUGAACUCCCCGCGCUCAACGUGGGAACUGCCUUUGAAACUGGGAAGCUGGAGUGUGUGAGAGGAUAGUGGAAUUCCGGGUGUAGGGGUGAAAUCCGUAGAUAUCUGGAGGAACAUCAGUGGCGAAGGCGACUAUCUGGCACAUAACUGACGCUGAGGAGCGAAAGCGUGGGUAGCAAACAGGAUUAGAUACCCCAGUAGUC